rnacentral:rRNA from 1 species
CUACGGGGGGCAGCAGUGAGGAAUAUUGCACAAUGGAGGAAACUCUGAUGCAGCAACGCCGCGUGGAGGAUGACGCAUCUCGGUGUGUAAACUCCUUUUAUAUGUCAAGAAAAUGACGGUAGCAUAUGAAUAAGCACCGGCUAACUCCGUGCCAGCAGCCGCGGUAAUACGGAGGGUGCAAGCGUUACUCGGAAUCACUGGGCGUAAAGGACGCGUAGGCGGGAUAUCAAGUCAGGUGUGAAAUCCUACAGCUUAACUGUAGAACUGCACUUGAAACUGGUAACCUAGAGUAUGGGAGGGGGAGAUGGAAUUAGUGGUGUAGGGGUAAAAUCCGUAGAUAUCACUAGGAAUACCUAAAGCGAAGGCGAUCUCCUGGAACAUAACUGACGCUAAGGCGUGAAAGCGUGGGGAGCAAACAGGAUUAGAUACCCGUGUAGUC